AUGGCUCAGGAUGAACGCUAGCGGCAGGCUUAACACAUGCAAGUCGAGGGGUAACAUUGUGCUUGCACAGAUGACGACCGGCGCACGGGUGCGUAACGCGUAUACAAUCUACCUUAUACUGAGGGAUAGCCUUUGGAAACGAAGAUUAAGACCUCAUAGUAUAUUGUUUUGGCAUCAAGAUAAUAUUAAAGGUUACGGUAUAAGAUGAGUAUGCGUCCUAUUAGCUAGAUGGUGUGGUAACGGCACACCAUGGCGACGAUAGGUAGGGGCCCUGAGAGGGGGAUCCCCCACACUGGUACUGAGACACGGACCAGACUCCUACGGGAGGCAGCAGUGAGGAAUAUUGGACAAUGGAGGCAACUCUGAUCCAGCCAUGCCGCGUGCAGGAAGACUGCCCUAUGGGUUGUAAACUGCUUUUAUACAGGAAGAAACAUUGCUACGUGUAGCAACUUGACGGUACUGUAAGAAUAAGGAUCGGCUAACUCCGUGCCAGCAGCCGCGGUAAUACGGAGGAUCCAAGCGUUAUCCGGAAUCAUUGGGUUUAAAGGGUCCGUAGGUGGAUAAUUAAGUCAGAGGUGAAAUCCUGCAGCUCAACUGUAGAAUUGCCUUUGAUACUGGUUAUCUUGAGUUAUUAUGAAGUAGUUAGAAUAUGUAGUGUAGCGGUGAAAUGCAUAGAUAUUACAUAGAAUACCAAUUGCGAAGGCAGAUUACUAAUAAUAUACUGACACUGAUGGACGAAAGCGUGGGGAGCGAACAGGAUUAGAUACCCUGGUAGUCCAC
rnacentral:rRNA from 1 species